rnacentral:misc_RNA from 1 species
GAUGAAGAACGCAGCGAAAUGCGAUACUUGGUGUGAAUUGCAGAAUCCCGUGAACCAUCGAGUCUUUGAACGCAAGUUGCGCCCGAAGCCAUUAGGCCGAGGGCACGCCUGCCUGGGCGUCACACGUCGUUGCCCCCCCAUCUACUCCUUCGGGAUUGCGGGGGGCGGAUGAUGGCCUCUCGUGCGCCUCGUCGCGCGGUUGGCCUAAAUGCCAAGUCCUCGGCGACGCACGCCACGACAAUCGGUGGUUGCGAAACCUCGGUUGCCUGUCGUGUGCGGUCGUCGCGCAUCGAGGGCUCGAAAAAAUUGCCGGGCUUCGGCUCGACUUUCAACGCGACCCCAGGUCAGGCGGGGUUACCCGCUGAAUUUAAGCAUAUCAAUAAGCGGAGAA